CACCGCCCGCCACGCUAUAGGAGUUGGCCAGGCUUGAAGUCAUUACCCUUAACUGUAAGGAGGGGGUGCUUAAGGCUAAGCUUACGACUAGAGUGAAGUCAUAACAAGGUAGUCGUACUAGAAGGUGCGACUC
rfam:Zea mays cultivar B73 chromosome 4, whole genome shotgun sequence.